CAGUCGCCGCGGUAAUACCGAGGGUGCAAGCGUUAAUCGGAAUUACUGGGCGUAAAGCGCGCGUAGGUGGUUUGUUAAGUUGGAUGUGAAAUCCCCGGGCUCAACCUGGGAACUGCAUCCAAAACUGGCAAGCUAGAGUAUGGUAGAGGGUGGUGGAAUUUCCUGUGUAGCGGUGAAAUGCGUAGAUAUAGGAAGGAACACCAGUGGCGAAGGCGACCACCUGGAAUGAUACUGACACUGAGGUGCGAAAGCGUGGGGAGCAAACAGGAUUAGAUACCCCUGUAGUCCAUGUCUCUUAUAC
rnacentral:rRNA from 1 species